rnacentral:tRNA from 1 species
GUUCUCAUAGUGUAGUGUUUAUCACGUCGUCUUCACACGCUGAAGCUCCUCAGUUCGAUCCUGGGUGAGAACA